rnacentral:ncRNA from 1 species
UUAAAGACUAAGAAAAGGAAUAGUAAAAGAAAAAUCUAAAAUUAAAUUUUAGAAAGUAUUUUUACAGAGAGAAAAUCAUUUGGUGCAAGAUUUUUAAAAUACAUUCUUUGAACCAGCCUUGGAGUUCUGUACCGAAAUAGUAGUAGGCUACAGCGGUUAUUACCGUUAAUUAUUUUAAGUGAGUAUAAUUUUACUUAAGCUUCAGCGCUUAAAUAAAAUUGUACUAAAUUAGGGUGGCACCGCCGAGACCUCGGUCCCUUUU